UUGACCUCAAAUCAGGUAGGACCACCCGCUGAACUUAAGCAUAUCAAUAAGCGGAGGAAAAGAAACUAACAAGGAUUCCCUUAGUAACUGCGAGUGAAGAGGGAAAAGCUCAAAUUUGUAAUCUGGCGGUCUUUGGCUGUCCGAGUUGUAAUCUAGAGAAGUGCUACCUGCGCUGGACCAUGUACAAGUCUCCUGGAAUGGAGCAUCAUAGAGGGUGAGAAUCCCGUCUUUGACAUGGACUGCCAGAGCUUAUAGGUGCGCUCUCGAAGAGUCGAGUUGUUUGGGAAUGCAGCUCAAAAUGGGUGGUAAAUGCCAUCUAAAGCUAAAUAUUGGCGAGAGACCGAUAGCGAACAAGUACCGUGAGGGAAAGAUGAAAAGAACUUUGGAAAGAGAGUUAAACAGUACGUGAAAUUGCUGAAAGGGAAACGCUUGAAGUCAGUCGCAUCAGUUGGAAAUCAACCUUGCUUUUGCUGGGUGUACUUUCCGUCYGAUGGGUCAGCAUCAAUUUUGAUUGCUGGAUAAAGUUCUUGGGAACGUGGCAUCUUUGGAUGUGUUAUAGCCCUUGGACAUAUACAGUGGUUGGGAUUGAGGAACUCAGCACGCCGCAAGGCUGGGGCUUUGUCCACAACACGUGCUUAGGAUGCUGGCAUAAUGGCUUUAAUCGACCCGUC
rnacentral:rRNA from 1 species